CCAUGACUUAUGUGAUAACCAACUCACAUAGGGUGAUAAUUAAAUAUCAUCAUUAAACUUGAACAGAGCCUAAUAAGUCCAAUUUCCCUCGUGCAUCACUAAUUCACUACACUUAUAAAUCCCCAUCUAUAGAUAAACAUGCCUUCACAAUCACCACCAAACUAUAAUAGCUAGCUGGAAACUUCACCUCUCCACACCACCAUUUCACCGUUUUCUCCAGCCACCAAGCAUUUUAUUAGCUGCUACAUCAUUUUCAGAAGCACCAACACAAGGAACAAUUUCAGAAUAGUGAUGAAGCAAGAAGACAAUAGCAGCUUGAACAAUAGGCAUGUUUGUGAACCAUUUAGGUCCUUUGGGAGUAGAUGUUGUAGGCUGGCUAAGGAGCAUAGGGCAAGGUUCUAUAUCGUGAGGAGGUGCAUCACAAUGCUUGUUUGUUGGAAGGAUUAUACUGAUCCUUGAAGGGAAACAUAGUAAAAUGAGUUCUCAUAAUAAAUGUUUUUUUUUCAUGCUCUGUAUGAUGGUAUUGCAUUUGUGUAUGUAUUAGGAUAGAACUCUGGUGAGGGAAG
rnacentral:lncRNA from 1 species